GAAGCACGCGACGGUGCACCUCUCCCCUUUCUCUCUCUCUCUGCACAAUCACACCUAUGCCGAAGGAGACCGCAUCCCGGUGGAGCGAGUCGCGCUACACGAACUUGCAAGUGCCGAGCUACGUCCCUUCCGAGGCCCUCAUGCACGAAGAUGGACAGUUUCUGCGCGCCUUUCUCCUUCGCGUGCUGGCGAAUGAUAUGCAGCGCAUGCUCGCCACCAACACGUGCGCUGCCUACUUCCGCAACAUCCCGCUGGAACCGGAGUACGACGCAAGCGGCAAUCGCACCAACACACCUGAGAACGUGGUGAUGGAAAAGCGACUGCGCGUCAUGGACGACAUUAGCAAGUUGCUGCGCACCUACGUGGAGCGGGCCGAGUACGCGGCCAACAAGUCCAAGGACAUCAAUCGUCGCAUCUACUUCACAGCGGAGCAGAUCGAGACGGGCGACUACGGUGCUCUCAUCGGGCCGCGUGGUUUGGUGCAUCAACAGCUGGAGAAGGAGACAAAUUGUCACAUUGUGCUGGUCGGGCGAGGCAUCACCAAUCCGCUAAAGGACACGAACCCGAAUGCAGCGGCCAUGGCGCUGGAGGACCCACACGUGCGCAUCACCGCCACCACGGAAGAGGAUCUGCAAACAGCCGCGGAGCGCAUUGAGUGGAUCCUGUCCGAUGAGCCGGAGGCUGUCGAGUUCCGCGAGAACAACCGCCGCCGAAUGGCCCAGGUGGACGGCCGCUACGACCCGCGCACGUGGAUGACGGCGGCGGAGAAGCGGAAGAAGGCAGCCGCGGAGAAGGCGGCUGCAGCUGGUGGCGCUGCUGCGGGCGAGGACGAGACGGGAGCGGAGAAGGGUCGCAAACGGGAGCGGGAGGAGUCACCAGUGGAAGAGGAAGACACCGAGCUGAACGAGUUCCUUGAAGACCUGUAGGCCUCUGCUCUGCCACGGCCACUGCCUGAAUGGAAGCAGCUGGGGACAUGUUGUGUGUGUGUGUGUGUGUGUGUUUGUAGCUGGUGCAGACUUUGGUAUGGAUGCUCGCCGCCACCGCGCGGUGGUGGCAAUAAUAAUGAGAAAUCCUCCCCCACUCACAUC
rnacentral:misc_RNA from 1 species